UUUAUUACUUUUUAAUAUUUUCAACGAUUUACGAAAUCGAAAAUGAUUUUAGAAUUUUAAGUUGAAAAUAAUUUGAAUUACGAAAAUUGAUUGAAUUUAGAAAACGAUCCUAUUCGGUUUUGGAUUCAAAUCCUAAAGCUAAAUUCCUAAGUCUAGCCCAAUUGGACAAAGCCCAAUAUUAUAAACCCAUAACCCCAAACUACCCUACUCCCUUCUCUUUCAACAAUACGUAAAACAAAAAAAAAAAUAAUAAACAACCAAACUCCCUCCUUCAAUCUCACGUAAAAAGCAAACCCUCAAGAACUCCUCCUCCCUCACGUUGCCUCCAAGCUCAGCCGCCACCACCGCCGGACCAGUCGCCGCCGGUUAGCUUGCUCCCCCUCUUCUUCGACCUUCUUCUUCGUCGUUCUCCUCCCUCACUGUUCCUUCUUUGUUUUUCCUUUUGUUCUUCUUCUCACGUUGCUUCGAGUAUUGCUCUCCUCAAUUUCUUUUCUAUUUUCGUACAGCCCGCCGCCAGCACAGCCACCUUGCCGUCGCCUGACGACGACCUUUGUACGCCAACCACCACCACCGGUGCGCCGUCGUGCCCCUCCUUGCCGUCGUUCCACCGCUGCCGCGCCUGUGCUCCGCCGGCCAGCAUCUCCUUGAAUCCUUCUUGGCGGAGAAUUCUCUUUAGGCGACUUUUGAAAAUGUUAAAGUGCCCUAUCAGUUGUUUACACAAGUCUCUAAGGAUCAAUAAGCGUUGCCCAUCUACAGGUUUGAAGAUGAUGCAUCAUUGGGAUCGGGAUUAGAGAGCUUGUAGUUCAUUUGAUUUUCUAAGUUGGAUUUGGUUUGUUUAAGUGGACUCUAAAACUUAUUGAAUUAGUAACAUUAACUUUGUUUUUCGUUGAUUGGUUUUUGGGAUUUAUUCUGAAAAUGAUUAUUUAUAAACCUACAGUUAGUUUUAUGUUUUCCGCUGCAAAAUUCUGAAUAAGCCGUUACGUUUUCACACGGGCGAUAAUGCCUUGAUAAUUCUCUACGUUUUAUAUUAAGAUGUUCUUUUAGAAAAGAGAGAAUUGUCG